rnacentral:rRNA from 1 species
AUUUUAAACGGCCGCGGUAAUUUGACCGUGCUAAGGUAGCAUAAUCACUUGUCUNUUAAUUGGGGGCUAGAAUGAAAGGUUAAACUAAUUUUACUAGUUUGUUAAAUUAUGUAUUAGGUUUAAGUUAAGGUAAGAAUUCUUUAAUUUUAUAGGGGACGAUAAGACCCUGUAAGCUUAAUAAGCAUAAUAAAAUUAGAUUUUAAGUACAUUUAUUUUACUGGGGCGGUAAUAGUACAGAGACUACUUGAUUUUUGAGGGAUCCUUAAGAUAAAGAUAAACUAGGUAAGUUACUACAGGGAUAACAGUGUGAUAUUUUUGGAGAGAUCUUAUUGAUAAGAAUGAUUACAACCUCKAUGUUGAAUUAAGAGUAUCUUUAUGCAGCANWWGGUWAUAAAGA